GACGUAGGGUGCGAGCGUUAAUCGGAAUUACUGGGCGUAAAGCGUGCGCAGGCGGUUUUGUAAGACAGGCGUGAAAUCCCCGGGCUCAACCUGGGAACUGCGCUUGUGACUGCAAGGCUAGAGUAUGGCAGAGGGGGGUGGAAUUCCACGUGUAGCAGUGAAAUGCGUAGAGAUGUGGAGGAACACCAAUGGCGAAGGCAGCCCCCUGGGCCAAUACUGACGCUCAUGCACGAAAGCGUGGGUAGCAAACAGG
rnacentral:rRNA from 1 species